rnacentral:rRNA from 1 species
UACGUAGGGGGCAAGCGUUGUCCGGAAUUAUUGGGCGUAAAGCGCGUGUAGGCGGCCAGAAAAGUCCGCUGUGAAAACUCGAGGCUCAACUUCGAGCUGUCGGUGGAAACUUUCUGGCUAGAGUCCGGAAGAGGAGAAUGGAAUUCCUGGUGUAGCGGUGAAAUGCGCAGAUAUCAGGAAGAACACCCGUGGCGAAGGCGGCUCUCUGGGACGGUACUGACGCUGAGACGCGAAAGCGUGGGGAGCGAACAGG